rnacentral:tRNA from 1 species
GAGGAUAUAGCUCAAGUGGUAGAGUGCAUGCCUAGUAUGCACAAGGUCCUGGGUUCAGUCCCCAGUAUCUCCU